rnacentral:rRNA from 1 species
GAUGAACGCUGGCGGCGUGCCUAAUACAUGCAAGUCGAGCGAACUGAUUAGAAGCUUGCUUCUAUGACGUUAGCGGCGGACGGGUGAGUAACACGUGGGCAACCUGCCUGUAAGACUGGGAUAACUUCGGGAAACCGAAGCUAAUACCGGAUAGGAUCUUCUCCUUCAUGGGAGAUGAUUGAAAGAUGGUUUCGGCUAUCACUUACAGAUGGGCCCGCGGUGCAUUAGCUAGUUGGUGAGGUAACGGCUCACCAAGGCAACGAUGCAUAGCCGACCUGAGAGGGUGAUCGGCCACACUGGGACUGAGACACGGCCCAGACUCCUACGGGAGGCAGCAUUAGGGAAUCUUCCGCAAUGGACGAAAGUCUGACGGAGCAACGCCGCGUGAGUGAUGAAGGCUUUCGGGUCGUAAAACUCUGUUGUUAGGGAAGAACAAGUACAAGAGUAACUGCUUGUACCUUGACGGUACCUAACCAGAAAGCCACGGCUAACUACGUGCCAGCAGCCGCCGUAAAAC